rnacentral:rRNA from 1 species
UGCACAGUCUUAAACCUUAAUAUGAUUACACAAAUUAUAUUCGCCAGGGAACUACGAGCGUAAGCUUUAAACCCAAAGGACUUGGCGGUGCUUUAGUCCCCUCUAGAGGAGCCUGUUCUAUAACCGAUAACCCCCGUUAAACCCUACUUUCUCUUGUUCUUCCCGUUUAUAUACCGCCGUCGUCAGCUUACCCUGUGAAGGAGGUAAAGUAAGCGAAAUUGAUAUAAUCUAAAACGUCAGGUCGAGGUGUAGCAUAUGAGAAAGAAAGAAAUGGGCUACAUUUCCUAUUUAAGGAUAUACGGAAAUGCUAUGAAAUACUAGUAAUCAAGGAGGAUUUAGCAGUAAACAAGAAAUAGAGAGUCUUGUUGAAGUCGGCCCUGAAGC